AGUAACAUAUUGGUAACCUACCUUGAAGUAGGGCAUAACGCUGAGAAAUCGGUGCUAAUACCCCAUGUACUCAACAGUCAUAUGACUGUUGUGUAAAGAUUUAUCGCUUCAAGAGGGGCCUAUAUCCCAUCAGCUUGUUGGUAGUGUAAAGGACUACCAAGGCUUCGACGGGUAGCGGGUGUGAGAGCACGACCCGCCUCAAUGGGACUGAGACACUGCCCAU
rnacentral:rRNA from 1 species